rnacentral:rRNA from 1 species
UACGGAGGAUGCGAGCGUUAUCCGGAUUUAUUGGGUUUAAAGGGUGCGCAGGCGGAUUUUUAAGUCAGCGGUCAAAUCGUGGGGCUCAACCCCAUCCAGCCGUUGAAACUGGGGAUCUAGAGUGUGCGAGAGGUAUGCGGAAUGCGUGGUGUAGCGGUGAAAUGCAUAGAUAUCACGCAGAACCCCGAUUGCGAAGGCAGCAUACCGGUGCACAACUGACGCUCAGGCACGAGAGCGUGGGGAGCGAACAGG